rnacentral:rRNA from 1 species
GACGAACGCUGGCGGCGUGCUUAACACAUGCAAGUCGAACGGAGUGGCGAACGGGUGAGUAACACGUGGGUGAUAUGCCUUGCACUUCGGGAUAAGCUUGGGAAACUGGGUCUAAUACCGGAUCGUGAAAGAUGGGCUCGCGGCCUAUCUGCUUUGUGGGGGGGUACUGGCCUACCAAGGCGUCGACGGGUAACCGGCCUUGGAGGGUGUACGGCCACAUUGGGACUGAGAUACGGCCCAGACUCCUACGGGAGGCAGCAGUGGGGAAUAUUGUACAAUUGGCGGAAGCCUGAUGCAGCGACGCCGCGUGGGGGAUGAAGGCCUUCGGGUUGUAAACUCCUUUCGACAGGGACGCGGUACCUGUAUAAGAAGCACCGGCUAACUACGUGCCAGCAGCCGCGGUAAUAC